ensembl:snRNA U6 U6 spliceosomal RNA
GUACUUACUUUGACAGCAUGAAUACUAAAAUUGGGACAAUUCAAAACAGAUUAGCAUGGCCCCUGUUCAAGAAUGACGCACAAAUUUGUGAAGCAUUCCACAUUUUC